rnacentral:rRNA from 1 species
UACGGAGGGUGCAAGCGUUAUCCGGAUUCACUGGGCUUAAAGGGAGCGUAGGUGGGCUGGUAAGUCAGUGGUGAAAUCUCCGGGCUUAACUCGGAAACUGCCGUUGAUACUAUCAGUCUUGAAUAUUGUGGAGGUAAGCGGAAUAUGUCAUGUAGCGGUGAAAUGCUUAGAUAUGGCAUAGAACACCGAUAGCGAAGGCAGCUUGCUGGACAAUUAUUGACACUGAGGCUCGAAAGCGUGGGGAUCAAACAGG